rnacentral:lncRNA from 1 species
AAGAUGAUCCGUGAGUAUCUUAGGGCGUGUUUGGCUAUGAGACCCUUAGAAAAAACCUUUUCCAAUUUUUUAAAUUCUUUCAAUUGAAUCCCUUCAGGAAUGGGAAUGCACUAUUGGGAAAAGAUAGAUUUUCUAAUUGGGGUACGUUGAUCCCCUCAUCCAUUUUUCACUCUUACCAAUUUUAUUCCUCUUUCUUUUUU